AUCCAGCUGAUGAGUCCUGAAUAGGAUGGAGCGCGCUUCCUGGAU
rnacentral:hammerhead_ribozyme from 1 species